CGAAAAGUGAGAAUUCUGAUGUCGGGGUCUAGCCGGGUAUUACACCAAACAUAACUAUUACAUGACUCUAAACAACUCCCCAAAAAACCCCCUAAAACAUACCAAAACAUGCACAUAAAACAAGUAGAGAAAGGCUGGGCAUGCGGACUUUCAGCGGCAGGUUCGGCGGCUGAAGGUCCCUCACAGAUCCGAAAGUCAGGGAUUUUCGGGGGCAGGUUCGGCGGCCUAAACUCCACACAAAUCCGAAAAUCAACAACCUUCGGAGGCAGGUUCGGAGGCCUAAAC
rnacentral:lncRNA from 1 species